UGCUUUAGGUUUAUACCCCUCAUGAACUGCUGCCCGAAUGGGCUAGUGUGAGUAAUGCCACUUGUUUUACAAACCAGCGCGCUUUGCCCAAACGUAUACCCGGGGUCUCUUAGACUUCCGCGGGUGUGACCUGUGCAAUGGUCCCCGGAGGGACCUAGGUCUAGGAAGGUGUUGGCUGCCCCUCUUCCAGGGAUGAAAUCUACGCUGAUUCUUCACUCC